rnacentral:lncRNA from 1 species
UGAAGCUCUCACAGACUCUUCUGCCUAAUAUUUCUCCAAAAUAAGGAACUGCUUCAAUAAUCCAAAUCUGGAAAGCAUAGGUGAAACCCUUGAAAAUGUAGCUCUCCUUGUUACUCAAAUUCUUCCUAGUCUUCUCAAUCGAUCUCAGCAGGAUGUCAAACGAGUGAAAACCCCAAUGGAACUUCCAAACCUUGUCAAGAUCCAUCACCAACUUGAUGUACAUAUGAGGGAUGUUCACCUUCUCAUCUUUCCCCAUCACCAUGCCCAUUAUCACGCACAAGUAGAUCAACCUUAACCUAUCAA